AUUGAACGCUGGCGGCAGGCCUAACACAUGCAAGUCGAGCGCGCCGCGGACGGGAGUGCAAUGUCUGGGAAACUCCCUUAUGGAGGGGGAUAACUACUGGAAACGGUAGCUAAUCCCGCAUACCAUCAGAUGUUCCCAGAUGGUAUUAGCUAUUAGGUGGGGUAAUGGCUCACCUAGGCCACGAUCCCUAGCUGGUCUGAGAGGAUGACCAGCCACACUGGAACUGAGACACGGUCCAGACUCCUACGGGAGGCAGCAGUGGGGAAUAUUGCACAAUGGGCGCAAGCCUGAUGCAGCCAUGCCGCGUGUGUGAAGAAGGCCUUCGGGUUGUAAAGCACUUUCAGCGAGGAGGCGUUACUCGCAGAAGAAGCACCGGCUAACUCCGUGCCAGCAGCCGCGGUAAUUC
rnacentral:rRNA from 1 species